rnacentral:rRNA from 1 species
GACAGAGGGUGCAAACGUUGUUCGGAAUUACUGGGCGUAAAGCGAGUGUAGGCGGUUCGAUAAGUCGGAUGUGAAAGCCCCGGGCUCAACCCGGGAAGUGCACUCGAUACUGUCGAGCUAGAGUAUCGGAGAGGUUGGUGGAAUUCUCGGUGUAGAGGUGAAAUUCGUAGAUAUCGAGAGGAACACCGGUGGCGAAGGCGGCCAACUGGAUGAAUACUGACGCUGAGACUCGAAAGCGUGGGGAGCAAACAGG